AUAUUGGUGUGGCAUGGAAUUUGAUGGUGCCUCCUCCUAACCCUAAUCCCUAGCCCACCUAUAAAAAGGGAUCCAAUAGCUAGAUGCCCUAAGAGAAGCACAUGAAAAAUUGUUUCAUAUGCCUUGCCUCUCUCCUCCCUUCCUUCCUCCCUUAGUUUUUCUUUCUCUCUAGAGUGUCUAAGAGAUUUAAUGAAGAAGAAGAAGUUAAAUUAGCCAUCAA
rnacentral:lncRNA from 1 species